rnacentral:rRNA from 1 species
UACAGAGGUCUCAAGCGUUGUUCGGAUUCAUUGGGCGUAAAGGGUGCGUAGGCGGUGGGGCAAGUCAGGUGUGAAAUCCCGGAGCUCAACUCCGGAACUGCACUUGAUACUGCUUUACUAGAGUACUGGAGAGGAGACUGGAAUUUACGGUGUAGCAGUGAAAUGCGUAGAUAUCGUAAGGAAGACCAGUGGCGAAGGCGAGUCUCUGGACAGUUACUGACGCUGAGGCACGAAGGCCAGGGGAGCAAACGGG